CAGAAAGAACUGUGCCAAAUCACUCUCGUUUACAAGCGGUUGGCUUGUUGAUGCAAUGAGACUUGCAAAGAGCACCUAGGGCAAAGAUAAGAAGAUGAGAUAUCAAAUACUGGAGAGGGAAAAAAGAAAAGAAUGAGCCGCUUCGACCAACUAAAAAAUUCAAUAGUAUUAAGAUUGAUGGAAGACUUCAAAAUCUGCUUAAUAUCCUUGGCAGCUUACAUAAAUCUUUAACAAACUAAAACCCAGAAAGAUUCAUAAACUAAAAUCUCAUUUACCUAAAGAUUUUGAUUCCCACAAUGUGUUCAAAAUCGGCAAAGGUCCUCGAUAAAAAAUAUUUAAAUCUUAAAGACUAUCCUUAGAAGAGUAUGUGACAUAUGGGUGCCAAGAUAUGCAUACUGCAAGCUUGAUGGCUAAGUCUGGAUUGCAAAUGAUUUAGUCCCACCGGAUGAACCUGCUGUCUUCAAAAGAACCUUUCCCUAAUUUCAGUCAUUGUUUUCACACUGUCCUGGGAAUAUUAUAUCUUUCUUGUCAUCACCAAAAUUCAAUGAUAUUGGGUGAACACAGCCCAGCAGGCAUACAUGCCAGGCUCCAGCUUAGUGCACCUGCUGACACCUUUCAAAGCACUUUGAGUAAUUCACCUCACCCAGCCCCUUCAUGCAAUAUUUGUUACCUAUACAUAUCGAUACCUUUUCCAAGAACCAAAACCAUUGGAAGCCAAUAAAAAGGUAUCAUCAGCUUCAAGCAAUCAUGAUCCACAGUUUCUUGCUAAUGAUUUUAUCAAAGCAUGUGAUGCAAGGAAUGCUUCUUGUAGAUAUGUUACCAACAACACUACUACAAGAGUUCAGCAUCAGUUUUUAUGUGCUAAUAUGCAUCCAUCAUUAUGUGAUCGUGAAUGUGCACAUACAUGCGUACAUGAGCAUGCACACCUACAUGUUUUGAUUGCACGAGGCUGCAUGCCCAUGCCAUUCUUACUAAUACAUGCAAAGAGUAAGCUGCUGUCCCACUUCCAUGUAGAGCUUAAUUUAUACGUUAGAUAAAUGGACAAAGUUCCUGGGUCUAGGGUAAUAGGCUAAUAGCAUUCCAGAUUCUUGAUCAAGGGGAUUGUAUAGUGUCAAAUAUAAUGGUCAAUACAAAUGCAACAGUGAGGUGUGGCAAACCAACUGAAGGGAUCCAUAGAAGUAGAAACUAGGAUUUGUUCGCACCAGGUUUGUGCAUAGCAUUAUUUGGAAAAUCUAAAAGCUUUCAUAACCUCAAUACCCAAUUUCUUUUUAGAGAUGAUGGAUAAAUACUUAUAGUAAAUGAAUAAGUGUCAAUUGUUUCUUUGUCCAAGUCUCAGGGGAUAUCCUACCACAUAGAAAUCAACAUUCAUAACCUUCCCUCAUAACGGCUUUAGAGUAUAAGCAAUAUAAAAUAUAAAUACAGGAAAUUCAGUGCUAUAAAUAAAAUACUAGGAUUCAUUAUACUUGAUAAGACAUCAAAAGAACCUAUAAUGGAAACAUAAUCUAAAAAAGACCACAAGAAUUUCAAAUCAAAUUUGAAAGUUCAUCGAUUCAAUCUUUCAAAUGGAAAUUUUGAUUUGGCUAAGCAAAGCAAUUCCCGAAAUCAGCAACCACGCCAGUUCAACAAACAAACUUACAGAAUUUACAAGACCAUAGAGAUAUAUAACCCACCAGAUAAAUCAACUGAUGGAUCAUUGCACAAGUGCAUGGCAUUUGCCCAACCUACAUAUAAAAUGUAAGUAGUGUGAGAGUCAUGCAGCUAAUUAACAGCAUAAAACAAUAUAAUACGACUAAAAUUAGGUUGAAGCAAUGUUGUUGUGGUGUAUGGUUGUGCAUAAUUUCCAAAGAAAAAUGUUAAACUAACAACAAUCCUCAUAAACAAACCAGGAAAUCUGGAUUAUUCUAAACAAAUAAAGUGAAAACUUGAGACAAAGUCACAAAAAUAAGACUAACGGAGCAGAUUUACUUAAGAUGAAUGAUUACACUGGUUGCUGAGCAUGUACCCCACAUGAGUGCAGGAGCAUGCAUCCCACAUGAGUGCAAAUGAAGAAAAUGAUUUGCAUAUGAAAGCAAUUUGGACAAAACAUACAACAUCGACAUGCGCAUAAUUGGUAAUCAAAAACAAAAAUGAUAUCUCUGACAGUUAUCUCAGCAGCAGCCUCUGAUGAUUAACAUUCACCAAUUAAAAAGCCUGGUAGUGAACACCCUAGCCUCUUGCAAACUCAUGCUGUACUUUCAGGCUAAUACCAUAUCGGUUUUGAUUCUGAGCAUGAUGCAGAUAAUAUGGUAUUAUUGAAAAAUAAAGCAAGUCUAUGAUAACGAAAACAUAUAUCCAAUGAGAGGAACUAAAAUUUUUCGUAGUACAUAACUGUCAGAAAAUCAGGCAGCAACAAUGUACACAAGCAUCUGUUGAAGGUGUUCCCUGACAAUCAACUUCAACCCACUUCAGUAUGCUAGGCAGGUGUGCUCAGGAACAUAGCACUAAAUGGUAUGUUAUUCACUAACGAUUAUGUGCUGAUAGCUUAGUGGAUCAGGAUCAUAAAGCUGGCUCCAAGUAGCUGGGAUAAGCCUGGAUGGUUAUGGUUAAGAAUUAUGUAAUGAUAAAUACACAUAAAAAAACGAAUUUGCUUGCCAGGUUUUCAAAAUUAAAAGAAUUCAGCUUUGUCUACCUAUCCUACAUGUACAUAUGUGUGUAUAUCUAUCGUUGUAUACCAUAUACUGGCGUGGUUAUAAUACAUACAGGGUACAAAAAGAGCAUUUUACACCUGCUAUAAAAAUUCAAUAAUCAAAUGCAAAUUGAAAAUCUAAACCACUGGAUGUCAUCUACAACAUUACAAAGUCUAUAUACAAAAACAUAAGAAAUAUCUUGUCUCUACAUCAACUCUCCCAAAUAUAUAGUUCACACAAUACAGUGUGCUGAUUUUAGGCAACCUAAUAUAUAGAAGAGAAGUUCGAAAAAAAUAUGCUCUAUAAAUUGGUAUUUAAGUCUUGUAGAUCAUGUCCAACAAUUUAGAAUUCCAUGUUUCAACAAACAGCAUUGAAUUUUGCAAUGGGUGCAAAGUACUGUUGUUAUGCCCUGUGUGUACUACAUGCAUGUGUACAUCCAUGCAGGCUUGCGUGCAUGCAAGCACAUGCGCAUGCAAACACUCCAUAGAACCAUCAUAAACAAGUGAACCUAUCAUUGAGUCCUAUACUGAUGUUUAGGACAACAGUAUUACUGAAGGAAACAUUCUUACAAUGCCACUCAUUCUCAUUAUUUCCACUUCAUGGAGUAUCUUAUAUUGCAAGAGACCGGUGAACACGGUGAGACAAUAUUGAAAUACAUAAGAUGCAAAUGACAAUCAAGCAGGCGCGAGAGACCGUGCCUUUUGCAGUUUAUAGUUUUAUUUUCCCAUCUAUCAAUCAGAGAACACAACAAGUAAUAUGCAUCACGUCCUUGCCAGCAAUUUCACAUGAUUAUGAUAAAGGACUGACACAUGGAAUUUACAUGACAACUCCAAGACGCAGACAGUAAUUUGCAACUGCAUACUUACGAUCAUUUAAAAGUUGUGCAGCCUCACUGGUACAACACCCAUCUAUGGGUAUCAAUCCUGGAUGGUUUUCAUUUUGAACAUUGCUGCCACCAGCCUCCCCAUGAUCCGUUGAAGGAAAAUUUCUCAAAUUAGAAGCUUGACUCUUCUCCCCAUCAAUCCCAUAGGAGUAACUUGUUUUUUCAAAUCGAUCUAUACAGACAAACACAAAAGAAUUACAAGUUCAAGCACUCGUGCAGAAAUUACGAAUAAAGGAAAUGCAAAAUGUUGCACAACUUUAGAUGCACAAAUAAUUAGAUGUAUGCAGUGGAAGCUUUCUAUCUGGUGCAGAAGAGUAUGUAUCAUUUCUUGCCAAUAAAUUGUUUAUGAUUGGUAAACACUGCAACUACUGCAUUAAAAAAUCCAGGUCUUGGGUACUUAUGGACUUACAGUAGUUGGUUUAAGACAUCCCUCAACUAUCAGUCUUUGCUAAUUUAUUGAUUAUCAAGCACUGGAUUCAAAAUGAUAUAAUAUCAGAUCAUUCUAUUGGUUUUUUUUAUUAUAAAGAAUGCAAAGUAUCUGCAGCUAUAUGGUAAUUUUAAUUAGCAUCACAAAGCACAUACUAUUGAUAGUGAAGGCAAAAUCAAAAUGUUUACUGCGAUUAUGUUCAUGUACUGUUCAGUUUGUCUUUAGGUCUAUCAACUAAUCCCAUUUAGAAUGUGUUCCCACAGCAUCUCCAACUGAGAUAAUUAAGUAUUUUGAGAAGAUACUACUUCACCACAGAGAAUAAAACACAAAUGCAGGUGUUGAUUGUUUUUUUUUAGGUAACUUGUCAUUGUUAUUUUCUUUAUAUCAUUGGAACACCAAGCAACUGCAGGAUGAAGGUUAUAUAUAUAACCCAUCAUUUAAACACAAAGGAAGACAGCUUCUUUUUAGCCAAAAGAACUAUAAUCUCAUUGUCUGCACCUUAUCUACUAACAAAAAGAAAAGAGGAACUACUUCCUUUUAAGCGUAGCUUUUGUAUCUUUGACACUUGAAAUCUUAAACAUUUUAGCUCCAUAAAUUUCUUAGUUUGACAUAACUUUGAUCUUUUCCAAAUGACAAUGAUAUAAUACUUGCAAAGUCAAAUAAGGAUGCAACUCCAUAAUUUCAAAUGAAUCUAUAUAUACAAGGUAAAAGCGACAAGUUUUUAUUCAUGUCAAAGACAUCAGGAGAAGCCUGCGGCCAUCAUUUCACAAGAAAAAAGUCCUCCCAUUCUAGAUAACCGUAAUCAAAGAUAUACACGCAGUAGCAAAUACUUUUCUUUUUUUUGAAAUUGUAAAUCACAUACAAGUUUUAACAUCUAAAAGUAAAGAGAGAAAGCUAAUAGGAUAUCAUACUACCAGCCAUCGAUUUCCCUUCCCACCCCACUUACCAAUAUGCUAGCCCGAGAAGUGUAGAUAAAGUCCUACCAAAAAUUGGCUACUAAUAUUGUUGGAACUAGAUAUUUCAGAUUUUUAAUGUGAAAGCUCGAAAUAGGUUUUUUUUUUUUUAAAUUGACCGAGACUAGCUAAAAUCAUCUAAAAUGAGUAAACAACAACCGAAACCAGGCUUACUCGCGAAUCCAUUUCAGCCAAGACCUUUUGGACCUCAGGCUAACCUUGAUGCUAAAAUUAAACUUGCAGAUUAUUCUUGAACAUUUGAAAAUUAAUAAAUCUUUCUAUUUAAACCCAAUUUGGUUGUGAGAAUAUACACAAGUAAAUUCAGCCCACUCCUUAAGCUCAAGGUCGCAGUUUGAGAAAUAGUUACUACAAGCACUGCACACGUAUUACCAAUAACAGAAAAAUGAAACUAUGUCAACGACAAACAACCAUCAUCUAUCACAAAGAGAAGAGUAUAAAGAAAAUACCUCCAGAUUUGCGCCGGUUGAGGGAUCGGUUCCUGAGACAUCAAGCCGUUAAACAAUUGAGAAACUAAAAAACAAGUAGAUAACACCAAAAAGAAUACGAUCAAACGAACGAAAAAGAAAAAAAAGAAGCAAAAACUGACACCAAAAAGAACAAAAGAAAAAAAAAAGAAGCAAAAACAAGCAUAUAACACCAAAAAAGAAUCAUAUGUAAAGAACGAAAGGGGGGAAAAAAAGAAGAAAGUAGAACCCACAAUGCAGAAAACCCAAUAGAAAUCGGAACCAAGAAAAGAAAGCAUUGGAAUCGGAUAGAUCUCUCGAAUCAAGAAACGGGACGAUAGCGAUUCCAAGAAAACGGCGAAAGGAGAGGGGGGAAGAUGGUGUACCUUUGAGCGGGAGGCGCGUAUCGCUUGCCGCCCUCGGGAUUGUUGUUGUUCUCGAUCAUCUCAGCCCUCCGGCAACGAGGGGAGAAAGAAGAAUAGGAGAAGAGGAGAAGAGAGAAGAGAAGACUUCUUCUUCUUCUUCUAAUGGGGAGGGGCGGAGCUCUCGCUCCCCUUCGGCUUCUCCCACGGCUUGAUGCGGUGGGAGACCGGAAGGGGGAAAAGACCAGAGGACGGGAUCGGAGCCUCCGCCGUUAUGUCACCCUCUCGUUAAUCCCCUUCUUUUAGUAGUCAAUAAUUGGGACUUGGACUAGUCCAUAAGCGGCAAUGCUUCGUGCGGUGCGGUGUUUGUUACGAUAAAAGGGGGUGACCAGAAGAGGAGAAGGGAGCUCACAUUGAACUUGGUUCAUGUGGUGAAGAAGUUCUUCUUCAAGGAAAUUACAGCAGUUGUUCACCUGAAAUUAUAGAAUAAAAUGAAUUGAAAUCAGGCUUUUGUGAUGUGAAUAAUUGGAUGUGUUGUGAUCAUGGAUUCAAUAAGAAUUCAAAAGCAUGGGGUUGCUUACAAGAAAAUUCCAGUUGAUUUGGGCACUUCAUUUGGGCCAAUGAAGCUGCCUAUCAGCAAGGAGGGGCACUCCAUUUGGGCCAAUGAUUUCUUAGGGAUCUUGCUUGCUUGCUUGCAUUUUGCUUUCAUAUUUCUUUUCUGAUGACAAGCAUUACCCUAACUCAUGCAAUGCAGUUCUCCUACUAAUCAUCUUAUGAAAUUGGGCAAAUUUUAUCAUGCCAUAUAUAACUUUUUUAUUAUGGGCUUUGUGUAGCAGGGCUAUGUCAUGCUUCGGAUCUGGGGUGUAAUGCAUGCAAUGCAGUUCACCUACUAAUCAUCGAUGCAUUAAAGAAAAAAAAAUCCAAUUCCAAUUAUCUAGUCCAGAUGGCCCUCACCUUGCAUGGAUGUCACAUAGAACAUCUCUAAACUCUCUAUUGAACUUUUUUUUUGUCAGUAUUACUCUCUUUUGGAUUGGGCCAUGAAGUAUGCGAUGUGCUAAAGAUUUGGAGUCUAAGAGGGAUUUCUUCAUAAACUAUUCUCCAUCGUUAGGGGAGGAGGGGAGAAUAUUUUGGAUCAUGGAAACAAAUGUUUCAGGUUAAGUCGCUCGCUAUGACGGCCAUCGCAAGAUCAGCUUUGGCAAAGCUUUAUAAAAGAUCCAACAAAAUACUUCUCAUCUUAAUUUGUAAUCUUUUUCUUCACCAAACCCUGUGGCAAUGUUUGUGCCAAGUUGCAAUAUUUAUUGCGUCUCAAUUUCUCCUUGGAAUUAAUGAAAUGAUCCACUUGAGGCUAGUGUUUGCUUCUAACAUAAUUCCUCAUGUGGUAUAAUGGAAAUGAUUCCUCAUGUGGUAUAAUGGAAACACUUGCAAGAGAGGAAUAUUGACAUAUAUUAUUUUCUUGAUUAUAGGCUCUGUUUGGGGGAGCUUUUGGAGGGCCAAAAAGUACUUUCUGGCCCUCCAAAAGUACUUUUAGAUAAAAAAUGGUGUUUGGUAAAAUUUUUGCAAAGCUGUUUCAGCUUUUGGGAAGAAGCUCCAAUUUGGAGCUUUCCGAAAAUGCUGUUUUCAGCUUUGUCGGGAAGUUGUUUUUUGGACCAAAAUACCUCCAUUUAAAUCUCACUUUUUUCCUCCAAAAUCCUCAUCCCACCUCUUCCUCUCUCACCCAUCCCCUCCCUCUCCCUCUCUAUCUUCUUCUUCCUCUCAACGUCGCCGCCGUUUAUUCCUUCUUCCUCUUCGUUUUUUUUUCUUUUUUUUGUUUUGGGAGCUCGUGGCUGCCACGGUGGCAGCCACCAUGUCGGCCACCACCCAUGGCCGGCGACCCCUCUAUAUUUCAAUGAAAUAAAAUAAUAAAUAAAUNNNNNNNNNNNNNNNNNNNNNNNNNNNNNAAUGAGUAGCAAAUAAUCUGAUUAAAUAAAUAAAAAUAUUAGUAAUUAUUUAACCAAUUUAAUCACCUAGCUAGAAAAUUUGUUAGAGGGAUAAAUGGUCAUUAGAAUGAUGAAAAAUUAAUUUAAACUAAUAAUUAUAAUAUUUUAUAUAUUUAUUAUUGUAUUAUACUAUAAAUAUAAUAUUAUAUUACAUUAUAUCAUAAUACAUUGAUAUGUUAUGUUAAAUAAUUUAAUAUUAUAUUAAAUUAUUAUUCUAUAAUACAUAAUGUUAUAGUACUAUAUUAUAAUAAUAUUAUAUUAUAUUACAUUAAUAUUAUACUAUAUCAUAUAUUUAUGUAUUAAUACAUAUUAUAUUUUAUUAUGCUCUGUUGUAUAAUACUGGUAAUGUCCUUUAUGGUCAUUUUGUCACACAAAAGUACUUUCUCGGUUUGUUUACCAACCACAUGUUAAAGUACCACAGCACUUUAGAAAUGUACUUACCUAACAACAAACAGUUUUUUAUAAACGCUCUACUUUAGAUAGCUCUACUUCCAAAACCUCUACUACUAAUAGCUCUUCCAAAUAGGGCUAUAUCUCAUGUCAAUCUUCAUUAAGGUCUGACAUAUGCAUGAGAACUCAUUGCAAGCAUAAGCUGAGUUUGGUUUUUUGCUGAAGGAUCUUAAAUGUACAAUUAGAAGUUAAAGGAAUUGCUAUUGCGAGGUGCACCACUUAGGCUGUUAGAAUGUUAAUGGGUUCAAACUUUGUAUGAAUAAUAUUAGGUAGACCCUUACCAUAUAUCUUUUAAGACACUUCAAUUAAUAUCUAAAUCAAGAUUUUUGUAACAACUAAAAUAGAGAAAAAAUGGCAAAAAAUAGUUUUGGAAGUCAAAACAAUCGAACAGCGCCUAGUUUUUGUUGUUGUUGUUGUCGUCGUCAUCAUCGUCAUGACUUUUGAUGACAAGAUUCGAAGAAAAUCAAGAAGCUAGUGUGCUGUUAUUAAGUCUCGAAUUACAUUUGAGAUGACAGAAAUAAGUUGAUCCGCUGGGCAUUUCUAGCAAGUUAGCUUGUCAUACUCACAUUCUGAUUAAAUAUUGAAUAAUUUGUUGAUAGGAAACAAUGUGGGCUGGUUAAACUAUUGGCAAAUUUCUUGUGGUUAUUCUUUUCUUAGAUUUGGAUGAUAGAUGACCAAAUCUUUGUAUAAGAUUUUUGCUCCAAUCAAUCAGUAUGAAAUAAAGGUUACAUAUUUUCUUCUUUGUUGGAAUAAUAUAGUAGUACUAUUUUUGUGCUGUGUUAGCUUUGUUUUUUUGCUGAAUGAAUCAUUUCCUAAUGUUCAUCCAGAACAGAGAUUGACACCAUAUUUACACAAUACGGUAAUCAAAAAAUAAAAAAAAAAAGAAAAGAAAAAGGCUACAAAGCAGACCGUUAAGCAACUACUUAAUGAUCAUAGGUUGAAUUGGCUAUGGGAGUUUAGAUAGUCCUAGUGGUAAAAGUAGACCAAAUAAUAUCCGUUUGAAUUUGUUUUCAUAUUCAAAUCUACCCAGAUAUGAAUAUAAAUUUGAAUAUCCAACUUAUCUAUAUCAAUAUUUGUCAAAAAAAAUAAAAAUAUGAAUAAAUAACUAACCUAUCAAUAUCCCAAUAUUUGAUUCUAUUUGUAAUCUUAUUUAAUUUAAUAUAGCGCUCAUGAAUUUUUAAGAAAAAUAAAUGAUCACAUUAACAUACUAUUAACUUGAUUUAUGAUCUCCUUAGUAAUAUCUUUGAUUCUAUGGUUAUAGAGCUUAAUUAUCUAAUUUAUAUCCAUAUUUAUAUCUAUACUUUUAGUAUUCAAUUUAUAUCUAUAUCCAUUUAAAACAAAUAUAGAUAUGCAUCCGGUUAACAUCCAUAUCCAUAUCUGUAUUUGCCAAAUAAAACAAAUAUACUAAUACUCGAUCUAAUUUUAGUCCUAUUUUGUCAUUUCUCAUGAGGGAAGUUGUUUAAAAUAUUAUAGUGAAAAAAACCAUGUGUCCGAAUACGAUUGCUUGCAUGCAUCGCUCCGUGUAAAGUACAAUUUCUCAAGGAGACACCAGCUAGAAAAAUAUUUUAAACGCAAUAAAACCAUAUAAUCCAACUUCGACUCCAAUGUCUUCAUCAAAUCCAAGGCUCCAAAUUUGAUCUCACGUGACCCAAGCGACGCUCACAACCCUCGACCUGGCCGUAAGCGACCAAUUGGAGUACACUUGCCUUUCUUUUUUUAAGCUCUUGUCUUGCUCUUUUUGGAUGCACUUAAACCAAGCAUGUGUUCAGGGAGGCAAAUGAGGCUAUGGACUGGGCGGCUUUCUUUGUCGCCAACCAUUCACGAGAUCAUCUAUGGGUGGGAGAGGCGGAGAUGCCUAAUGCUCUCCACGUUGUCCUGUUUUUUGACAUUCUUGGCUAUAUUCGUACACAUUAUUUAUGAUUCUUCCGUUUCAGCAAAAAAAAAAAUAAUAAUAAUAAUAGUAUUUGGUGUGUUCUCGUCCCUUUUGUGGGAACUAAACAAAACUGCCUCGGUAGAGAAUGGAGAUGAAGACUGCUUAAAACUCAAAGUAUGUGUACAAUAAAUACCAUAGGAUGCAUCCCCCUCUUAAUCCAUUUACCAUUCAUCAAGUCCUAGAGGAGACUUUUUUUAGAUUUUAGACUGUCGUACCACCAACGCCAAUUUCCAUGUCUUGGCCAAGUUCCAUCUCCAUAUGUUUAGUUCCAUCCUCUCCUCUGCGCUCUGAUGCUUGGUUUGAUGGAUCAAACAUCAGUUGAAAGAAAUGGAGAUUAUCUUAGGUAAGGAUAGUCUUUGUUAAACUUUGAUCUAUAAAAUUUCCUAAAAAAUUGUUUGUUCAUAAUAGUAAUGUCUUAUCGUUACAUGAAAAGCUCUUGACCUUGUGAAGAAAAAUGAUUUGUAAAAAUUGGCAUGAUAGACGUAUGAUUUUCAAAUGUUAAAUUAUCAAGACAGCACUAAAUGUGUGAGAAAUUUUUGAUGCGCAUGCACCAACACCCAAAUAUAAAAAUUAACAAACAAAAGAUGAUAAACAAAAAAUAAAUCGAUAAAUUGGGUUCCUCUAAAUUAAUAAAAAAAUUAUUUUAUGUAUCUUAUAAUAUUGAAAUUAGCUCUACCAUGUUGGUGUAUCCCUCUAUCACUUGAUCUAGCAUCAAAAAAUAUUUAGAUAAGUUACAUCCAAAAUUUGUGCAAACAAUGAAAAAACAAUUCGGAUAAGAUUCGCAGUGUUCUCUUUAAUUGCUUUUAGUUUGUAAAUAAUAAUCCUAAAAAAAAGAAUAAAAAAUGUCACAGUUUGAACCAAAUGCUGGCAUGCACUAAAUGUAGAAUGAAACCUAUAUAUAAUAAGAAUAAUAGAACACUAUCAUUACCAUGCAUGGUUUGAAACAGGGGUAGCUUAGAAAUGGCAAUUAGGAACUCUCUACUUUUAAAAUUGGAAGGAUAGGUUUCUUCCAUAGAUUAUGGCUACCUGAGCCUACCAAAGAUAGAGAGAGAAUUAAAUAUAUAUAUACAUGUAUAUAUAUAUAUAUAUAUAUAUAGUUUCUAGCUCUCUAAUGCAAACAAUGGAAUCAUUUGGGCAGCCGGGAGGAUGAAAGGAGUGUACCGGAACAGGAUCAGCUUCAUUUCUAGUUUAUUUUAUGGGUUUGAGGACUUGGGGGGUAGUGUUCUAUGUGCUCUUACUUUACAAACUUCAGUUUAAAGAUGGAACUCCUUGGUACUAUAACAAGCAAAAGGGAAGUACGGAAGCUGACUUUUCUAAGUAAUCCAAGGUGCAAGUUGGCCGGCAAUUUCCAGCCAAGCUUCCCUCGCAUCUCUUUAUUUUAUUAUAUCCUUUCAUCCCUUCCUUUGAACCCAAUCUUAGGAAAAAUUAUGGAAAAGUUUGUAGGAGUAAAAAUCUAAAAAUACCUUUUAGGGUUUUUUUUUGAAUGGACUCUUAAAUUGUUGCAGUGUGAAUUAGGAGACACUAUAGUGUAGGCCAGUUGGAGGUGACCAAUGAAUUUAGACACUAUAGUGUAGUCUAAUGAUAAUAUUAGGAUUUAAAUAGAGGAGGCAUGUGAGGAUUCAUGUAUAUAUAUAUUUAGUCUCACAUCGGUUAUGCACUGAAUCGAUCUUAAAUAUUUGUGUAUGACCAAAAAAUCUAAAUAAUACUUUUCAACUAGUAUUUUGGAUGAGAUUCUGAAUGAAUAUUAUUUGAGUAAUAAAAGAGCCUAUUGAAUUCCUAUUUUGUAGCUGCUGAUCACCAACAAACGUUUCUAAUUUUUCAAGCAACCGAUCUAAACUUAUGGAAUUUAAAAAUAUCUAUAAAUUAUAAUUUAAUAAAUAAAGAUUUUGUGGAUGAAUAUUCAUUCUUUCAUUUGUAGGGCCCUUGCUCCGUGUUAUACUACGCUCAAUUACUAUUAGUCCUCGGAUCAUACAGUAAUAACAUGCAUAAUAAGAUCAUCCCUUUCAACAAAAAGAAAAAAAGAAAAAAAAGCCCCUACGUGCAGUAGCACACUGGUCCCAAAAACUAUGGGCUGGGCUGCACAUAGGAUCAUACAAAACAAAAGGUUUUGGAAUCCGGGGUGCGUUUAAUUGCAUUAAAAGGGACCGCCUGCAAUUUCAGUGAUGUCAGUUGGUACACGUUUGGUGUUUCAUGUACUGCAAGUGUAAAAUUUAGAUCUAAUUCCAAUUUCAAAAGGCAUUCCUGCAAGGCUGCAACCGAGACAAAUCAGCAAGGACAAUUGUGGACGCUCUUAGUGAAGUUGCACCCUGGUGUAACUCUAGAUCUUGCCAUGCUAGCUCCACCUAACAGAGCUUUAUCUGUACCUCUACAUUCAGAAAUUUGUGAACAUAUAUUACUUAUCAGAAUAUAAAAUUUAAAAACAAAGGUUCCAUGAGGAAUACCAACCAUGUUUCAUUGAGCUGGUUGUCAUCAAAGAUCCAGGAUUGGGCCAUCAUCUCAUAACAUGAGCCUUUUGCCAUUAACUAGUGAAGGACCAUAUAUGAUUUUUUUUUUUUUGUUGGUUCGGCGGUUUAAAUUGUUCUCACAUGAGCACAACCAGCUACAUCACUAUCAAGAAAACUACAUAGAGCAAAACGAACUGAGGACUGUUGAGUCCAUAGAAACUCUUCGGAAUGCUGGGCAACAAAAAAGACGACCCUAUCAGCCGCUUGGUUCGUCUCCCGAAGAACGUGUUUGAUUUAGAUCCCAUGCAUGUCAGACAGAAACGGAUGCUUCACCUUCUUCUAUCUUUCUGUCUGAAGACGAUCAAUCAAGACAGCAGAGUCCUCCUCUAAUAUAAUCCUAUCAGCCUCUAACACAUAUCUUGCAUAGGACCAUAUAUGAAAUGUGGUGGGAUCCAGGGAGAGAGUGACGAGGGGAUGAGGGGGAAAUGGAAAGGUGGCCAGGGGAGAGGAACCUUAAACGUCAAACAGCCUUGCGUUUCCCUGAGAAAAAGAAAAGAUAAACAAAG
rnacentral:lncRNA from 1 species